CAAUAGCGUAUAUUAAAGUUGUUGCAGUUAAAAAGCUCGUAGUUGGACCUUGGACCUGGACAGGCGGUCCGCCUCACGGCGUGUACUGUCUUGCUGGGUCUUUCCUCUUGGUGAUCUGUUGUUUCGGCAGCAGGGAACCAGGACUUUUACUUUGAAAAAAUUAGAGUGUUCAAAGCAGGCUCGACGCCGGAAUAUAUUAGCAUGGAAUAAUAAAAUAGGACGUGCGGUUCUAUUUUGUUGGUUUUUGGAAUCGCCGUAAUGAUUAAUAGGGACAGUCGGGGGCAUUAGUACUCACAUGCUAGAGGUGAAAUUCUUGGAUUUUGUGAAGACUAACUUCUGCGAAAGCAUUUGCCAAGGGUGUUUUCAUUAA
rnacentral:rRNA from 1 species